rnacentral:piRNA from 1 species
UCACAAUUGUGAAAGUGGAAGGUUCC